rnacentral:tRNA from 1 species
GGAGGGGUGGCAGAGUGGUCGAUCGCGCCUGACUCGAAAUCAGGUGGGCCGCAAGGUCCCGGGGGUUCGAAUCCCUCCCCCUCCGCCA